rnacentral:rRNA from 1 species
GUAACACGUAUGCAACCUACCCUUUACUGGGGCAUAGCUCAGAGAAAUCUGAAUUAAUUCCCCAUAAUAUAAUUAUAUGGCAUCAUUUGAUUAUUAAAGCUGAGGCGGUAAAGGAUGGGCAUGCGUUGCAUUAGCUAGUUGGUGAGGUAAUGGCUCACCAAGGCUACGAUGCAUAGGGGUUCUGAGAGGAUGAUCCCCCACACUGGUACUGAGACACGGACCAGACUCCUACGGGAGGCAGCAGUAGGGAAUAUUGGUCAAUGGACGCAAGUCUGAACCAGCCAUGCCGCGUGCAGGAAGACGGCCCUCUGGGUUGUAAACUGCUUUUAUAUGGGAAGAAACCCCUGGAUGCGUCCAGGGCUGACGGUACUUUAUGAAUAAGGAUCGGCUAACUUCGUGCCAGCAGCCGCGGUAAGACGAAGGAUCCAAGCGUUGUCCGGAUUUACUGGGUUUAAAGGGUGCGUAGGCGGACUGAUAAGUCAGUGGUGAAAGCCCAUAGCUCAACUAUGGAACUGCCAUUGAAACUGCCGGUCUUGAAUUCGGUUGAGGCAGAUGGAAUAUAACAUGUAGCGGUGAAAUGCUUAGAUAUGUUAUAGAACACCGAUUGCGAAGGCAGUCUGCUAAGUCGACAUUGACGCUGAGGCA